rnacentral:misc_RNA from 1 species
AGUUCUGCCAGCCUGCCUAUUUCCUGCCAUCAAAAAACAGAUUUAAGUUUAUUUAUCUACUUAUGAACCUAUUAAAGGUUGCUGCGAAUGAAUUAUCCAGAAUUCCAUGUAAAAAAGAGUGAAAGCAUCCUUCAAUUGUUUGCAAGGCAACUAAUAAGAUAGAUUACUACACUCAAAGCCUACCGUGCAAAAGUGUGGAUAAGCUG